rnacentral:rRNA from 1 species
UACGUAGGGUGCAAGCGUUUGUCCGGAAUUAUUGGGCGUAAAGAGCUUGUAGGCGGUUUGUCGCGUCUGCUGUGAAAAUCCGGGGCUCAACCCCGGACUUGCAGUGGGUACGGGCAGACUAGAGUGGCGGUAGGGGAGAUUGGAAUUCCUGGUGUAGCGGUGGAAUGCGCAGAUAUCAGGAGGAACACCAGAGGCGAAGGCGGCGACCUGGACAAGCACUGACACUCAACUACGAAAGCGUGGGGAGCAAACAGG